rnacentral:rRNA from 1 species
GACGAACGCUGGCGGCGUGCUUAACACAUGCAAGUCGAACGGUAAGGCUCCAGCUUGCUGGGGUACACGAGUGGCGAACGGGUGAGUAACACGUGGGUGACCUGCCCUGCACUUCGGGAUAAGCCUGGGAAACUGGGUCUAAUACCGGAUAGGACCGCACCGUGAGGGUGUGGUGGAAAGUUUUUUCGGUGUGGGAUGGGCCCGCGGCCUAUCAGCUUGUUGGUGGGGUAAUGGCCUACCAAGGCGGCGACGGGUAGCCGGCCUGAGAGGGUGGACGGCCACAUUGGGACUGAGACACGGCCCAGACUCCUACGGGAGGCAGCAGUGGGGAAUAUUGCACAAUGGGCGGAAGCCUGAUGCAGCGACGCCGCGUGGGGGAUGACGGCCUUCGGGUUGUAAACUCCUUUCACCAUCGACGAAGGGUUUCUGACGGUAGAUGGAGAAGAAGCACCGGCUAACUACGUGCCAGCAGCCGCGGUAAUACGUAGGGUGCGAGCGUUGUCCGGAAUUACUGGGCGUAAAGAGCUCGUAGGUGGUUUGUCGCGUCGUCUGUGAAUUCCGGGGCUUAACUCCGGGCGUGCAGGCGAUACGGGCAUAACUUGAGUACUGUAGGGGAGACUGGAAUUCCUGGUGUAGCGGUGAAAUGCGCAGAUAUCAGGAGGAACACCGGUGGCGAAGGCGGGUCUCUGGGCAGUAACUGACGCUGAGGAGCGAAAGCAUGGGGAGCGAACAGGAUUAGAUACCCUGGUAGUCCAUGCCGUAAACGGUGGGCGCUAGGUGUGGGUUUCCUUCCACGGGAUCCGUGCCGUAGCUAACGCAUUAAGCGCCCCGCCUGGGGAGUACGGCCGCAAGGCUAAAACUCAAAGGAAUUGACGGGGGCCCGCACAAGCGGCGGAGCAUGUGGAUUAAUUCGAUGCAACGCGAAGAACCUUACCUGGGCUUGACAUAUACAGGAUCGCGCCAGAGAUGGUGUUUCCCUUGUGGCUUGUAUACAGGUGGUGCAUGGUUGUCGUCAGCUCGUGUCGUGAGAUGUUGGGUUAAGUCCCGCAACGAGCGCAACCCUUGUCUUAUGUUGCCAGCACGUUGUGGUGGGGACUCGUAAGAAACUGCCGGGGUUAACUCGGAGGAAGGUGGGGAUGACGUCAAAUCAUCAUGCCCCUUAUGUCCAGGGCUUCACACAUGCUACAAUGGUCGGUACAGUGGGUUGCCAGUCCGUGAGGGCGAGCUAAUCCCGCAAAGCCGGUCUCAGUUCGGAUCGGGGUCUGCAACUCGACCCCGUGAAGUCGGAGUCGCUAGUAAUCGCAGAUCAGCAACGCUGCGGUGAAUACGUUCCCGGGCCU